GACGAACGCUGGCGGCGUGCCUAAUACAUGCAAGUUGAGCGCUCAAGCUUGGUACUUGUACCUACUGGCUGAGCAGCGAACGGGUGAGUAACGCGUGGGUAAUCUACCUUUGAGCGUGGGACAACAUUUGGAAACGAAUGCUAAUACCGCAUAAAAACUUUAACCACAUGUUUUAAGUUUGAAAGAUGCACUUGCUUUACUCAAAGAUGAUCUCGCGUUUUAUUAGCUAGUUGGUGAGGUAAACGCUCUCCAAGGCGAUGAUACAUAACCGAACUGGGAGGGGGGGUGGCCACAUUGGGAAUGGGAAAAGGCCCAAAAUGCUACGGGAAGGAGCAGGAAGGAAACGUCGGGAAAGGAGGAAAGGCGGGACGAGAAACGCCGGGGGAGGGAAGAAGGGUUUCGGAUCGUAAAAAUCCGUUGGUAGGGAAGAAAGAUGGGGGGAGGGGAAAGCGCAUCAAGUGACGGUAACUACUCAGAAAGGGACGGCUAACUACGUG
rnacentral:rRNA from 1 species